rnacentral:tRNA from 1 species
GCCUGGGUGGCUCAGUCAGUUGAGCGUCUGACUUCAGCUCAGGUCAUGAUCUCGCGGUCCGUGAGUUCGAGCCCCGCGUCGGGCU